AUUGAACGCUGGCGGCAGGCCUAACACAUGCAAGUCGAACGGUAACAGGAAGCAGCUUGCUGCUUUGCUGACGAGUGGCGGACGGGUGAGUAAUGUCUGGGAAACUGCCUGAUGGAGGGGGAUAACUACUGGAAACGGUAGCUAAUACCGCAUAACGUCGCAAGACCAAAGAGGGGGACCUUCGGGCCUCUUGCCAUCGGAUGUGCCCAGAUGGGAUUAGCUAGUAGGUGGGGUAACGGCUCACCUAGGCGACGAUCCCUAGCUGGUCUGAGAGGAUGACCAGCCACACUGGAACUGAGACACGGUCCAGACUCCUACGGGAGGCAGCAGUGGGGAAUAUUGCACAAUGGGCGCAAGCCUGAUGCAGCCAUGCCGCGUGUAUGAAGAAGGCCUUCGGGUUGUAAAAUACUUUCAGCGGGGAGGAAGGGAGUAAAGUUAAUACCUUUGCUCAUUGACGUUACCCGCAGAAGAAGCACCGGCUAACUCCGUG
rnacentral:rRNA from 1 species